rnacentral:rRNA from 1 species
UACAUGGGGUGCAAACGUUGCUCGGAAUCAUUGGGCGUAAAGCGCGCGUAGGCGGUUGCUUAAGUCGGAUGUGAAAGCCCUCGGCUUAACUGAGGAAGUGCAUCCGAAACUGAGCAGCUAGAGUACGAAAGAGGGUCGCGGAAUUCCCGGUGUAGAGGUGAAAUUCGUAGAUAUCAGGAGGAACACCAAUGGCGAAGGCAGCACUCUGGGACGUGACUGACGCUGAGACGCGAAAGCGUGGGGAGCAAACAGG